rnacentral:rRNA from 1 species
UCAGGAUUAACGCUGGCGGCAUGCCUAAUACAUGCAAGUCAAACGGGUGUACUGUACACCAGUGGCGAACGGGUGAGUAAUAUAUAGGUAACUUGGCCCUUAAGACGAGGAUAACCAUUGGAAACGAUGGAUAAUACUGGGAUAGGAUAGUUUUAACGCAUGUUUUACUAUUUAAAGACGCUUUCAAGCGUCACUUAAGGAGAGGCCUAUAUCGCAUUAGCGUUGUUGGUGAGGUAACGGCUCACCAAGGCGACGAUGCGUAACUGUGCUGAGAGGCAAAACAGUCACAUUGGAACUUAGACACGGUCCAAACUCCUACGGGAGGCAGCAGUAGGGAAUUUUCGGCAAUGGGGGAAACCCUGACCGAGACAAUGCCGGCGUGAAUGAUGAAGAAUCUUCGGAUCGUAAAAUUCUGUUGUUAGGGAAGAAUGGCUAGUGGUAGGAAAUGAUCAUUAGUUGACAGUACCUGACUAGAAAGCCCCGGCUAACUAUGUGCCAGCCGCUGC